CCUACGGGGUGCAGCAGUGAGGAAUAUUGGUCAAUGGACGAGAGUCUGAACCAGCCAAGUAGCGUGAAGGAUGACUGCCCUAUGGGUUGUAAACUUCUUUUAUAUGGGAAUAAAAUGUUCCACGUGUGGGAUUUUGUAUGUACCAUAUGAAUAAGGAUCGGCUAACUCCGUGCCAGCAGCCGCGGUAAUACGGAGGAUCCGAGCGUUAUCCGGAUUUAUUGGGUUUAAAGGGAGCGUAGGUGGAUUGUUAAGUCAGUUGUGAAAGUUUGCGGCUCAAUCGUAAAAUUGCAGUUGAAACUGGCAGUCUUGAGUACAGUAGAGGUGGGCGGAAUUCGUGGUGUAGCGGUGAAAUGCUUAGAUAUCACGAAGAACUCCGAUUGCGAAGGCAGUUCACUGGACUGCAACUGACACUGAGGCUCGAAAGUGUGGGUAUCAAACAGGAUUAGAUACCCUAGUAGUC
rnacentral:rRNA from 1 species